rnacentral:rRNA from 1 species
CCUACGGGUGGCAGCAGUGGGGAAUAUUGCACAAUGGGGGGAACCCUGAUGCAGCGACGCCGCGUGAGUGAAGAAGUAUUUCGGUAUGUAAAGCUCUGUCAGCAGGGAAGAAGAAAGACGGUACCGGACCAAGAAGCCCCGGCUAACUACGUGCCAGCAGCCGCGGUAAUACGGAGGGGGCAAGCGUUAUCCGGAUUUACUGGGUGGAACGGGAGCGUAGACGGGAGGGCCAGUCGGGAGGGAAAGGAAGGGGCCCAACCCCUGGACUGCUCUGGAAACUGUCCGGCUGGAGUGCAGGAGAGGUAAGUGGCCUUCCUCGUGUAGCGGUGAACUGCGUCGAUAUUAGGCGGCCCACCAGUGGCGACGGCGGCUUACUGGACUGUAACUGACGUUGCGGCUCGAAAGCGUGGGGAGCACACAGGAUUAGAUACCCCGGUAGUC